UGGGUAAUGACCCAAACCUAUAUGGCCCCCUGGAUUGGACUGCGGCCGAUCAGGCUGUUGGUGAGGUAAUGGCCCACCAAACCUGUAACCGGUACGGGCUCUGAGAGGAGGAGCCCGGAGAUGGGCACUGAGACAAGGGCCCAGGCCCUAUGGGGCGCAGCAGGCGCGAAACCUCUGCAGUAGGCGAAAGCUUGACAGGGUUACUCUGAGUGAUUUCCGUUAAGGUGAUCUUUUGGCACCUCUAAAAAUGGUGCAGAAUAAGGGGUGGGCAAGUCUGGUGUCAGCCGCCGCGGUAAUACCAGCACCCCGAGUGGUCGGGACGUUUAUUGGGCCUAAAGCAUCCGUAGCCGGUUCUACAAGUCUUCCGUUAAAUCCACCUGCUUAACAGAUGGGCUGCGGAAGAUACUAUGGAGCUAGGAGGCGGGAGAGGCAAGCGGUACUCGAUGGGUAGGGGUAAGAUCCGUUGAUCCAUUGAAGACCACCAGUGGCGAAGGCGGCUUGCCAGAACGCGCUCGACGGUGAGGGAUGAAAGCUGGGGGAGCAAACCGGAUUAGAUACCCGGGUAGUCCCAGCUGUAAACGAUGCAGACUCGGUGAUGAGUUGGCUUCAUGCCAACUCAGUG
rnacentral:rRNA from 1 species